rnacentral:rRNA from 1 species
GAUGAACGCUAGCUACAGGCUUAACACAUGCAAGUCGAGGGGCAGCACUAGGUAGCAAUACUGAGGUGGCGACCGGCGCACGGGUGCGUAACGCGUAUCCAACCUUCCCGUUACUCUUGGAUAGCCUUCCGAAAGGGAGAUUAAUACAAGAUGGUAUUCAAAUUCCGCAUGUUAUUUGAAUUAAAGAUUUAUCGGUAACGGAUGGGGAUGCGUGACAUUAGAUAGUAGGCGGGGUAACGGCCCACCUAGUCUACGAUGUCUAGGGGUUCUGAGAGGAAGGUCCCCCACACGGGAACUGAGACACGGUCCAGACGCCUACGGGAGGCAGCAGUGAGGAAUAUUGGUCAAUGGUCGGAAGACUGAACCAGCCAAGUAGCGUGAAGGAUGAAGGUUCUAUGGAUUGUAAACUUCUUUUAUACGGGAAUAAAACACCUUACGUGUAGGGUCUUGUAUGUACCGUAUGAAUAAGCAUCGGCUAACUCCGUGCCAGCCGCCGCCGUAACAC